CCCACCUCAUAACCUAAUCACCUCCCAAAGAGGCCAUUUCCUGAUAUUAUGUGAUUGAGGGUCAGGUUUUAACUAAUAAAUUUUAGAGGGACACAGCAUUCAGACCAUAGCAAAGGAUUAAGUUAGUACUUUUUGCGAAAGCCACAAUAACUUCUGUUUUCGUACAAGUAUGCUUUCUAGUGGACUGUGUCAGCGAGUGCACAGAAAGGUUGUUCCGGGUCUUUUAUUGUAGAGUUUGAACUGGUCAAGGGGACAUGUGUAGAAGAGUUAGUGAGUUAUCCGGAAAAAUCAGGGGUUAUAGGUUCUCCACAGCCUAUCAAACCUGGCCUCCGUGGAGGAGCAAAAUCAGCUCUAUUUGUCAUUUUAUCUGUGCAUCAAACUUUCUUAUUCCCUUUCUGUGAAAGAUCUUGGCCACAAGGCUGUUCUUGUCAUUCACACAGAGUCAAUUCAGAGGUCUUCCCUGUUGACUUUUAAUGGCUGUAAAAAACCACGUUAUUUCUUUUUUGGCAGAGUUGCAAGACUAUCAGGGGCUAUGUCUCUACUGCUCAAGGAAGGCCUGUUAACAGUAAGAGCUGAGGAAUGGAGGAGGCUUGGAGAAGUGACCAGACUGAGGUGUCCCAGCUGUAGACCAACUCUGGCCUGAGCCUGGCGAGCUGUCCUUGGGAACAGAGGUCUUAAAAUGAUCUGCAAGAGAAUCUCAAAUUGUUUUGCUGUUUGCUCUUGGGAAACUGAAAUGCUGCAGAGACUAAUUGUCAAGAUGAAUGUGUUAGCCAGAGAGACAUUAACAUCAAGAUUUCACUUAAGAGAAUGUCGAGCCAACAUAAUAUCUGAUAAAACUGCCUAUUUUUCUAAUGAGAAGCAGUGUGUGCUUCUGAGUAGCUCUGAAGACUGCAAAUUAUUUCUUGCCUUUCAAAGUGCCUGACAGGUGAAAAUAUUUUUCUCCCUGGUUUGCUGCAUGUUAAUAAAGUAUACUAGUUGGGUAAUGAGUCUCUGAGUAGUGAAGGAUAAUCAAACAUGUAUCCGUGGAACACUGAAGUGGAGAAAGCUAAAGAAUUGCUUUUCCAAUUCCCUUUCCUGUCCUCUCAGAUACCUGGUCAUGGUAUUGGACUUGUAUUUCAAUAAUAACAAUCGUAUUCCGAGCAUCAGCC
ensembl:lncRNA